CCGGAGCAAACGCAAUACAGGAACCAAACAUGUCGACAGGCGAUAAACGGCAUGAACUACCGCCAUAUUGUCAGUGAAGAAGACCACCCGUUUGUUCCGCUAAUCCUCGCCCCAUAGUGAUAAGGCAACCACCAACGGGAACAAUUCGAUAAAGGCCAGGUUCCUCAUCACCAAAUUUCCCAUCCAACUUACCGGCCACCAUGUCACACACCACCAC